rnacentral:rRNA from 1 species
UACGUAGGGGGCAAGCGUUGUCCGGAUUUAUUGGGCGUAAAGCGCGUGUAGGCGGCUUUGCAAGUCGGGCGUGAAAUCCCACGGCUCAACCGUGGAAGUGCACUCGAAACUGCAGAGCUAGAGUCCUGGAGAGGAAGGUGGAAUGCUUGGUGUAGAGGUGAAAUUCGUAGAUAUCAAGCGGAACACCGGUGGCGAAGGCGGCCUUCUGGACAGUGACUGACGCUGAGACGCGAAAGCGUGGGGAGCAAACAGG